AUGGCUCAGGAUGAACGCUAGCUACAGGCUUAACACAUGCAAGUCGAGGGGAAACGAUAGAGAAAGCUUGCUUUUUUCUAGGCGUCGACCGGCGCACGGGUGAGUAACGCGUAUCCAACCUGCCCACCACUUGGGGAUAACCUUGCGAAAGUAAGACUAAUACCCAAUGACGUCUCUAGAAGACAUCUGAAAGAGAUUAAAGAUUUAUCGGUGAUGGAUGGGGAUGCGUCUGAUUAGCUUGUUGGCGGGGUAACGGCCCACCAAGGCGACGAUCAGUAGGGGUUCUGAGAGGAAGGUCCCCCACAUUGGAACUGAGACACGGUCCAAACUCCUACGGGAGGCAGCAGUGAGGAAUAUUGGUCAAUGGACGAGAGUCUGAACCAGCCAAGUAGCGUGCAGGAUGACGGCCCUAUGGGUUGUAAACUGCUUUUAUAAGGGAAUAAAGUGAGUCUCGUGAGACUUUUUGCAUGUACCUUAUGAAUAAGGACCGGCUAAUUCCGUG
rnacentral:rRNA from 1 species